rnacentral:lncRNA from 1 species
CGAUGACGACUAGUCGUAGGUGAGGGGAUUUCAUAACCUAACCUUUCCCUUUCUAGAAGAAGCAAGUAGACAUGUUUAUUCAGAUAAUUCAGUUCCUCUAUUUGGUCGUAUUUGCUGCCAGUAAUAUUUUUAUUUGUAAAGCUAGUAAAAAUUAUGGAACUUAAAAUACAAAAUCAGUUGAUUUAUCUCUUCAGCCUUAACAAAAAAGAUUUAGCCCAUUUUUCUUGUGUUGAAUAACCUGGGAACAAAAUUCCGGUUCCUAUACAAUACCAAAUUAAAUCUAGUUUAUGCACAUGAGCUGUAUUUCUUGGUCUUGGUCUUGUUAUUUUAUUUUUCCAAUACUCCGAGAAUUAGAUUGUUUAUUUUCUUCGGUGAGAAAAAAUGUAGUAGUGGUCUUGAAUCUGUUUUGCACAAGAGUACAGAUGUUGGUGUAGAUACUAUUUGCUGCAUAAACAUGAUAUUUGGAGUCUUACUUUAGUGGAGUGCUCAUAUGAUUGUGCUUGGAAAACGAUUUUAUGAUAGGUUUUGUUAGGACUUGGGAGACUUGUCUGAAACUGUAUUAGUCUUGUACAUAAGCAAAAGUAAUUGCUUGGGAGGUGCCAUGUCGAUAUAAGAGUCUUUCUGCACAUGACAAAAGAUGUUCUGCAGCAAGUAAAACGUACUGAUUCCACAUUUCUGUCGUUCAUUCAGAUAAGUAUCAUCUGCUGCUAGCAGAAAUUACAGAACCUACAAAGCCAAAUUGUUAUUGCCUCAGGUUUUAUCUUGAUCAAAUUGUUAUUGAUUAUUAAUUUGUCAAUGCAGAGUACAGCGGAGUCCUGACAGUUCACCUCUUCAAAAGUUUUCGCCCCUCAGAAACGAUGACAGCAGAACUGAACGCCUGCUUUUGGCAUGUAGAUAGAUAGGUUCAGGUUCGGAAAACUCAGCAGCUGUGGUAUUCAGAAAACUCAGCAGCCAAACUUGCUUCAAUCUUAUUUUGUCUUGCGGUUCUAUGAUUCAGAACUGCUUGGAUCAUUGCGUGCAAUGGUUGAACAGUAUUUUGGUGAUGCUGGUUGUAGUAGUUGUUGCUGACUUGCAGUUUCGCUCUUCUGACAUUGAUCUCUGUUAUGUCAUUGGUACUGUUUCCUGGAUGAAGCAUUACACUGUAGAUGUUCUUGCAGCGAGUUGAUGAUGCUGCAUUCCUUUUUGAUGGAUGCUUUUUUUUUUUGCAUAAAUGGAGAAUAUAGUGGUUCUUUGAUGGAUGCAUUUUUGCAUAAAUGGAGAAUGUAGUGGUUCUUGCAGUAAACUGGUGAUCAUGUAUUUCUUUUAGAUGGUG